AAUUUGGUAGUAAAUUAAAUUUAUAGCUUUUGGACUUAGAGUAGGUGGAACACACCCACACUAAACAGAGAGAGAUUUAAGGAUUAUGUAAAUGAGUUGGCAACAAUCAAGCUUGAUUUGGGUGAGAAAGUUUUGGUGUUAAAGAAAAAGUAUCGUCCAGCAUCAGAAAACCUCGAAGGUUCAGAUUUAACAUCUCAGCCACUGCCACCUUUGGCUUCAUCAGUUGCUAAAACUUCUGCACCUAACCCUGCCAUGUCAGAACCUAACUUAAGGCCAAAAGAAAGCAGUGUAGAUCCUGAUCCUCCGUCAAUAAAGCUAUCGACAAAGCUGGAAAAAAAUGACUCUCUGCGUGCUCAGUCUGAGCCCC
rnacentral:sRNA from 1 species